CCAUAGUGAUUGUACCAACACUCCCACCAACAAUAGGGUUUCUCUUCCCCCACAGCCUCACCAGCAUUUGUUAUGGAUUCUUAUUUUGUGCAUUCUGAAUCUAUUAUAAAGAUAGGAUGUGUUCAGGAAACCUGAAUUAAUUGUUCUUAACUAGAUGAGACAGAACCAACUAUAACCAAAACCAUCACUAGGACCAUCACAGAUGUUGCUAAGAUGAGUUUGUUGUUAUAGCCAAAUCCUGGAACUUUUUUUUUUUUGUACCAGGAAUUAAACCCAGAGCCUUGCACUUGCCAGGCAGAUGCUGUGCCUCUGAGCUAUAUCCCUGGCCCUGGAACUUCUUCAGUGAGAUUACAAAAAAAAAAAAAUCUAAAUAAAAGCUACCUAACAUCUCAUUCUUCCAGGUGCUGCGUGCUGACAAGCAGCGUGUCUGUGCUGUCACUGAUGUGGGCCUCAGGGCUGCAUGGCUCUGACUCCCACUGGUGCACCCUGACUGCUGGCUGAUCACUGAGAGGCGCCAUCAGAGAGCCUGGCCGGAGGUGAGUGUGGCACAGGCCAGCAGCACGUGGUCUCAGCAGUGCAUUUCCCACAAGUUCAGUUAGCACGAGAAAUGAUGGGGAUUUCUUGGGGAUGCAGGGCUGGAGCUGCUGUUGUAACUGGGGUUCAGACUGAUCACCUGGGGAUGAUAGCAGUGGGGACGCGAAGUCUUAAGGGGGCAACCAGUGCCCAUGUCGGGGGACUCCCUGUGUCUCUCUGCUUUGGUUAUCGGGUGACAUCAGGUUGAUGCAGUCACAGCAGCGCCUGCAGCACAGACGGUAGUGUCUGUUGGAGAACAGUUCUUUCAGAAGCAUCUCCUGCACUUGGUUUUCCACAGAAGGCUGUGCAGGAGCAUAGAAUUCAGAGAGAGGACUGUCCUGAACAUGCGCGCCUCCUGAAGAUGAGAAUCCUGCGAAGGGGAACCAUGAGGCUCCUCACUGCCGAGACCAGGGGCCCCUUGGCAGCCUUAGUCCCCUGUGUGCAUUUUCCUCUGUGAGCGGCUCGCUUGACUUGUUCUUGGGCGUUCCCUGGGCCACAAGAGUGAUUUUUAUGUAAUUUGUGAUUUUGGGGGGAUGUGAGAUUGGUUUGGAGCGGUGGUGGCAAACCUGUGGGGCACAUGGCACAGCGGGCACACAGAGCCCUCUGUCAGCACGCAAGCUAAGUUGCCCCAGCAGCCAAGCGUCAGGUUUCACCGCAGUGUUGGACCUUUGCAAUAAAUAAGUGGAUUUGGGGUUGCAGUUUAGGCACCCAGUCUCUAAAAGGCUCGUCACCCCUGGGUUACAGGCUUUCAUGCUUUUAACUCUAGCACCUCCAUAUUUUAAAACAAAAAUGCCAUAGGUAAAGUGUCUUUUUGCUUCUUGCCUGAGGUGGGGCUCCGGCAGGAGUGGAGGUGGGAGACCUGCACAGUGAGGGCCCUUUCACAGCGGAGGGGAUUGGUGCCUCUGUUGUGUGUGUGCGUGCAUGCGUGUGUGUGUGUGUGUGUGUGUGUGUGUGUGUGUGUCCCUGUGUAGAAAGGCUUCCAGCCAAGCCCCUGGCUCAGUGCCUCCGAUGCUGCCCUCGCUCUCCUGUGCUGAGUCUCCGGAGGCUUCUUUCUCAGGGGACAUUCUUUGCCAAGGCUGGCCUUCUGCUUCUCCCUAGUCUCUGGUUUCCACAUUUCCUUGAGGAGCCUUUUCCGUGCCCUUCCCCUGAGGAGCACGUCACUGUCCUCAGCCUUCUCCUUCCAGCCAGGCCUCCAGCGGGCUGUUUUCCUGUGCUCCAGUACUUGCCAAUUUCUUUGGGAAGAUUCUGCGUUUAAAUUUGAGACCUAAUGUCUGGGCUGCAUAAGCCUGCCAGUUUUCUCCUGUUAACCUCCUUGAUGUUUUUCCUGAAUUUCUGCAUCCAAUAAACUUUGCAGAAAAUA